UACGUAGGGUGCAAGCGUUGUCCGGAAUUAUUGGGCGUAAAGAGCUCGUAGGCGGUCUGUCGCGUCCGUUGUGAAAACUCGAGGCUCAACCUCGGGCUUGCAGUGGAUACGGGCAGACUAGAGUGCGGUAGGGGGAGACUGGAAUUCCUGGUGUAGCGGUGGAAUGCGCAGAUAUCAGGAGGAACACCGAUGGCGAAGGCAGGUCUCUGGGCCGCAACUGACGCUGAGGAGCGAAAGCAUGGGGAGCGAACAGG
rnacentral:rRNA from 1 species